rnacentral:rRNA from 1 species
GAUGAACGCUGGCGGCGUGCUUAACACAUGCAAGUCGAACGAGAAGUGAAGACGGAAACCUUCGGGCGGAAGGCUUUAUUUCGAGUGGCGGACGGGUGAGUAACGCGUGGGUAACCUGCCUCAUACAGGGGGAUAACAGUUGGAAACGACUGUUAAUACCGCAUAAGACCACAGCACCGCAUGGUGCGGGGGUAAAAACUCCGGUGGUAUGAGAUGGACCCGCGUUCGAUUAGCCAGUUGGCGGGGUAACGGCCCACCAAAGCGACGAUCGAUAGCCGAUCAGAGAGGAUGACCGGCCACAUUGGGACUGAGACACGGCCCAAACUCCUACGGGAGGCAGCAGUGGGGAAUAUUGCACAAUGGGGGAAACCCUGAUGCAGCGACGCCGCGUGAGUGAAGAAGUAUUUCGGUAUGUAAAGCUCUAUCAGCAGGGAAGAAAAUGACGGUACCUGAGUAAGAAGCCCCGGCUAACUACGUG